GACGAACGCUGGCGGCGUGCCUAAUACAUGCAAGUCGAACGCAGUGGGGACGGGUGAGUAACACGUGGGUAACCUCCCAUCAGAGGGGAUAACACUUGGAAAAAGGUGCUAAACCGAUACUGAUGGAUGGACCCGGGGUGCAUUAGCUAGUUGGUGAGGUAACGGCUCACCAAGGCAACGAGGCAUAGCUGGCUGGAUAGGGUGAGCGGCCACACUGGGACUGAGACACGGCCCAGACUCCGACGUGAGUAAGCAGUAGGGAAUCUUCGGCAAUGGACGAAAGUCUGACCGAGCAACGCCGCGUGUGUGAAGAAGGGUUUCGGAUCGUAAUACUCUUUUGUUAGAGCAGCGGUAUCUAACCAGAAAGCCACGGCUAACUACGUGCCAGCAGCCGCGGUAAUUC
rnacentral:rRNA from 1 species